UACGUAGGGUGCAAGCGUUGUCCGGAAUUAUUGGGCGUAAAGAGCUCGUAGGCGGUCUGUCGCGUCUGCUGUGAAAACUCGGGGCUUAACCCCGGGCCUGCAGUGGGUACGGGCAGACUAGAGUGCGGUAGGGGAGACUGGAAUUCCUGGUGUAGCGGUGAAAUGCGCAGAUAUCAGGAGGAACACCGGUGGCGAAGGCGGGUCUCUGGGCCGGUACUGACGCUGAGGUGCGAAAGCGUGGGAGCAAACAGG
rnacentral:rRNA from 1 species